UGGCGGCGGCCAAUCAGCGCUCGGCUUCCAUUUUGUGAGUUCAACUCUGAGGCUUCCCCGGCUUUCGCGUGGAUCUGUUUGCAGACCCCUCGGUCUCUCUUCUCGGGCUGCCGAGGCGAAGCAGCCGCCUCGCCGGGGCUUCGUGCUGCUGUAUUUCAUAUUGGGGCUCUUUUCGGGGGUUUGUAAUUUGGCCGUGGGUAGGUAAUUGGCUGGAGCAGGGCGGCAGGGCGCGGCAGCCAAUCAGCACGCGGCUUCUAUAGGGCUUGAGUUAUUAGACGCUGAUCUCAAAACAUCCUUCAUCAGACUCCAAGGAGAGGCCAACAGAUGAGGGGAGCCAUUUUUCUGCAAUGGAAUUAAAUGGCCAAGUGGGUUUUUCCUUUGUUGCAAAUGGGGAAUGCUUCUCCUUUGACUCCACCAUCCAGUUCAGGACGCCUGAAUGUGUUUAACAUUUGCCAAAGGACUCACACUUGGAAGAAUGAAGAAGACCUUUUAAAAAGAUCUGGAUUUUUCCUUAUGACUUGGAAUCCAUCUUUGUCUUGUAUAACUAGGUCAUAGCACACUAUUAAUGUCAGCAGUUAACAGUUUUGAAUUCAAAAAAAACUAAGUAAACGACAUAUUUAAUUUUUUCCUCUUUUUUUUUUUCUUGGGUGGGUGGAGGGAGAGCUUGGAGCUGUCUUAAUCUGUAUUCUCUUGACUGAACAAUAAAUUUUUAAAUAUAGUUUCCUCUAUUAAACACUUAAGCCUGACCAUCUUAUUAACUCUAUUUUUUAACAAGGUAAUGUUUUAAAUGUAUAGUUGUAGCGAAACGGCAACAAUAACAAAAAAACUGUGAGCUGUUGUUACUGUUAAAUUUUCUAAAAACCUUUUACAUUGUAAGUACCCAAUCCAUUCUGUCCUUACUGCACUGCCGUUUUCAUGUUACUGUCGCCUGAGAUGUCCUGAAUUUUCGGAACCUUCAUCUGCAUGUGUCUUUGUCUCUGUCUGAUGUAAGUCAGUUAAAAUGCUUUUAGACGUUUGCUUCUAUAAAGCUACGAUUUUUAGCUUCGAGCUUUUUUGGAAAAAAAAUAAUGUUUACAGCCAUAGUUGCUAUUCAGAUUUCUUCCCAGUAGCUCGUACACUUUCUUUAAAAAUCGAUCUAUUUGAAGAAAAACAGCUGUUUUUCUCGACUUGGGUGUGGGGUGGUGGAGGGUGAGAGAAAGGAAGACCUUUUGUAUAAAGAAAGACUGAAAGCCGUCACUGGAAACUAGAUUAAAACUGGAAAACAAGCCCUAUCCGGUUCAUGCCAAACACCUACGUUAACUCGGUGGUCUUUUCUAGGUUGGUUGGGAUGGCUGGUGAGCUAUUUUGCCUUUUGUUUGAUUUGACUUGUGUUUUCGCCUUUUGUUUCUUAAUGACGAUCACACCAUUGGUAAAGCCAGAGCAGUAAACAGCCCUCAGCGAAGCCGCCUUUUUGCCAGCCCAACCCUGGAAAGUUUGCAGUCGUGGAAGGAGCAGAAAUACCAUGAGUAUAACUUACAAAAAAAGGUCUUGGCCGGAAGACAGGAGCAAUGCCUGUGUUAUUCCCACAGUAGACAAUCCUUGCUUCCUCCGGACAUCUGGAGCAGGCCUAGUUUGACUGACAGCCUUCCCACUAAGGGUGACCAAAUGAGCCCCCUUCUGAUGCCUGGCUUGCUGGAUAGACAAAGAACCAGAAGACCUGAAGUGUUAGGCUCCAGUUUCCCAAGAGAAAAGGUUUCCUUGGCUUCUCCUUUUCCUGGAUCCUCACAGUGGCCCCCCUGGUUCUCAACAAGGCCAGGCGUUUCUAGAAUGUGACAAAGCUGGACAUGAAAGUAGGUUGGCCCUUUACCUGUCUGUAGUGACCUUACAUAGUCAACAAGGUCUGUGUGUAGUCUCUGAGCAGGAUCUCCCAGCUGCACCGGCAUCAGAAGUCAGCGGUGGAACCCAUUCAACCUGACUGUGCCCGCCUCUCGAGUUUGUCUUGUAGGCAGUACAUCUAGGAACUUGCCCUUCUUACAAGGUUCCCAGGUACGGCCAGGUUUCUAGACUCUCCCUAGUAGGUGACACCUGGGAUGCUACCCGGCUUGGUGGCUAGCAGUUGGCUUGCCCUCCUCCCAGGCAGGAAGCUUCGCUGCUGAAAUUGGUGUGGCCCUUGAUCUCUGACCCCUGCCCCCCUAGUGUGUUUCUUGUUACGUUACUUUGAUAAGCCAUUUGGCCGCAGGUGCCGCGGAUCCUGCUGGCUUCCCCUAUUUAGGCUUCAGCUUCCAGCCUCUUGUCUUCUCUUUUCUCCUCACCCCUACAGUGAGUGCUGACGUGUGAGUUAGGGAGCCUGGAAGGCUUCCCUGAGUUGUUGGAGGCAUUUUGGUGCCUAAUCAGGGAUGCUUCAAGUCUGGCAGCCGUGGGCUAGAUGUGGACCAAGCUAGUGACCUUGGACCAGUGUAUCUCCCUCCCCCUCUCCCCGUAAAAGACCACAAUACCUGCUGGAAAAGGUUGGUGGGAGGAUUAAGGGAGAUUAAGGGGGCCAGACUCCUGCUCUGACUUCGCAAUCAGUUGGCCUCCAUUGUGAUAAGGAUUGUUGCGGGGAGUGGCUGCUCGCUGCGCGGGUGGGGGCUGGGCUGUCUCCUGGGCUCCUCCCCGCCAGCCCACUUCCUGAAGCACGUGCUGGAGCCUCCAGGCAAAGGAGAAAGAAAACUGGCUCUGCUUGGGAAGGCAGCCAGCCCUGUUUUUCUUCCAGUGUUUGAGUCCAGGCUGUUCCGGGCUCCGUGGGCUGUUUUGUGGUUGGGUCACGAUUUUAAGGGCCACCCACCAAUGGCCCCAAGAGAAGAAAUGUCUCACCCAAGGUUAUGAGGCCACCACAGGCAGAGCCUGGACAGGGUUCCAGGUGUCUUGAUUUUCAGCCCAGAGCCUGGGCCCGUGACACCCCCUUGCCCAGCUGUCUGGGUUAUUUUAGGCUCCCUCCUGUGCCAGCUGUCUGCCUUUAUCACUGCCAGAGAGCUGUCUGGUUUAGCAAGGCACCACAAUGGUCCUGUGGCUCCUGCUGGUGCAGAGGGCCAGGCAUCAAGUCCGUGGAUGAGCUGGCUUUAUGCUGGGAAGGCCGAACUCAUCACCCCAAUUGAGAAAGGGGGAGGGAAGAGCACUUUCCCAAGUUGGUCUCGUUCAUAUACAUACCCGGUAAGCCUUCGAACACACUUGAUCUAUCUAAGGGCUCUGGUUAGAGUCCUUGGGUCUGGGGGUCUUUAUCUCCUACAGCCUCAGACUAAUUGAUUUAAGUCGCGCUGUGUCAGCUGUACCCUGGAGGGCUACAGGCUUUAGGGACCAAUUAGGCGCUAAACUGCGACUCGAUGCUUGAAAGGGGAAGAUGGAAGUGACCCGGCCAACGGUGACAGUCUCUACUUCAGGCUUUUUUCCCACCUCCCUUUCUCCUUUCUUUGGCCCCCUUAUCACCCCCUGGGCAGUAGGGUGGGGCAGUUUGUCCUGCUGUUGUUCCUGGCCCUGAGGGGUGCCCCGCCUCCUGGUCGCCCACUGAGCGUAGGGCGGGGCUGCUUUGGCCUGCUGAGAGAGGGCCACGCCAGCGGAAGGCUUGCCUGAACUGGGAGGUGGCUGCACUAGCUUUACUACACAGAUUCCAGUGUCCCCGCCCCUUCCGGCUCCUCCACCUGGCCUGGAGCCCAAGUUUGGAAUAUGACCUUUUUAGACUCUCCGAGUUGAGGCAGCCACCGUGAUGGGUCGGAAAACCGGCCAUCACCGCUGUCCUGUCCCCAGUGUUUUCUCGGAGUGUUCUGUGCCCUCAGGCAAAUUCUUGCUGAAGGGAGCCAGGAGGGGAACGUUGAACAACAACAAAAAAACCUUUUGAGCUAUUUCUAACAUUUUCGUUUGAUGGAGGAGGGUCUUGCCGUGUCCAGACUAGUCCUAGUGACAGUUUGGGACCGUAGGUACAUUCCUUUGUACCAGCGUUAGCUGGUUUUCAGCCUGGCUACCAAAAAUGACUCGCCCAUCUUCCGCUUGUUCCCUAAAGCUGUUAGGCAGCCGAGACCUGGCGGGAGACUGCUUAACUAGGUAGAUAAGAUAGCCCGGCUUCACCCCUCUGCUUUAUCUUAAGGCUAGAGCUAGAGUCUUUAUCACCCCCUCUUAUCUGGACCAUCUGCAUUUGGAUAGCUCAAUAAUUGAUUUAUGGCUCUCUGAGAAGGGGAGUGGAGGCCUCAGCCUCCCCCACCCAAAUUUGUACUUUGUCCUGAAAGACUGUCUGUCUGUCUCUGCUCCCCUGGAUCUGUGGUUCAAUCUUACCAGCGACCACCUGGCAGCUCCCUGAGGGGGUUUGUGUGAAGCAGGAACCAGUGGAAGGAAUUUCUUGCUUUCCUAUGCUCUCUAGGAAUUCCUGGAUAAUCUAGAGUGACCCAGGCCCCCAGAACAUCUUGCAGAUGAGGGAGUAAGCCACCCUGGGUGGGUGAGUGUGUGUAUCUCCUCAACUGGGCCGCACUGGCCCGGCCUGACCUCUGAGGAGGCUCUCGACAGUAGCUGGCUGGAUUCCUGGGUAUUUUUAGCUACAGAUCCAGCCCCACUAUCACCAGGAAAGCUGAGUCCAAAUCCAACACUCUAGGCCUGGUAGUGCUGGGGCUCUGCCCGCCCCCUGCUGAGGUGGGACUGGGUGGGUAAGGCAGGCUGGAACCCACCCGAGCCAGAACUGAUUGCUUUUGGUCUUUUCCUCUCUGCAUUUUCCUGCAGACUUGCUCUGUCACCAAGGAUGGAGAGUGCAGAUGGAGGUCCGGGAAGUUUGUGGGAAGCCGGGAGCCCUCUCUUGGUUGUAUGUAGUAGAACAAGUUCUUUUUCUCAGAAGUGAAUUCAACCCCUGGCAAAUGCAGCCAUCCAGUGUCCUGGGUUGAGAGCCAAGCCAAAAGCCGUCUGAGAGAAGAAACCUGGGGGGUCCUACAAAGGUAAGUGGGUCCCAGCUCACUCCAGAUCUCCCUCCCUUUGUGUGAUUGUUAUUCGGAGUGGCCUGCGCCUCUGGCAUAUCAAUGGAAAUUGUGUUUCCUUUCUUUCUUUCUUUCUUUCUUUCUUUCUUUAUUUAUUUAUUUAUUUAUUUAUUUAUUUUUGCUACCCUCACGGACCACUAAUAGCCCUAGCUCCUCCUUCCCUGCCUCCAUUGAGUCCUGUCUGCUGUGUCUCUUUGCAGCCCUCCUCCCCCUCAACCAGCACUUAGGCCCUCCCUGAUUUAGCCGGUUACCUUGACAACCACUUGGGCCUGUUUCCCUCAUCACCACUGAAAACCUGAAGAAGGUUUUCCAGCUGCGGUACAUUUGCCCAAGUUGGGCACCCCUCCAGCUUCUAUUGGCUCGCCCUCUAUGCAACUGUACCCAAUAUAACACACACAACCUUCCCUGUUCCUCAGCUGUAGUCUCUCUGGUCCGGGGAACUCCAUCACACUGCCUCCUCAAGACUGAGCUCCUCACAGGCAGGAACAUGGUCUUUUCUCAAUAAACAAGUUGCAAAAAAAAGGAA